rnacentral:lncRNA from 1 species
AAAAAAUAUUUGUAGUUAGAUUUUAAAUAGAAAAAUUACUCAAGACCUUUUCUAUAUAUCUAAACUAGUCACAGUUUAUUCCAGUCAUAUAUUCUUUUAUGCACUACACAUAAUUUAUUUUCAAUCAUAUAUUUUUUUAUACUAAAACGAGUUCUAGAACAUAAUUAUUGAAGUGAUAAGAAAGGUGUGCUUUUUUAUAAAUGAAAAAAAUAUGAAAUAAUUGUUUUGAAAUGUGAAGGUCGAUAAUUUUUGGUUCUUAGACGACUUUUGGCUCUUGAUUUUUCCUCACGAUAAGAUUUUUGACUUUUCACUUGAUAGCCUGUAAAAAGUCACUAAGCUUGUAAAAGAGAUGAUAUAAAUAAGAUAAUAAUAUCUAUUUUUUUUUCUCUGUUAUCGGGUUCCUCUCAAUUUCCUUUCUACCUAUUUUAUUACAUAACAGAAAUAUACACAUGCAUUCACAAGGUACAAGAGUAGUAGUCGUAUGGUUGAUAGAGAAAAUUAAGAAUCUAGCACAAGUUUUUAACUCUUGAAAAUCAAAAUUCAUGGACAAUUAGCAGGCAAAAUCAGUGGGAGGACCGGGUUGGAGCCAACCCUGGCCUAAACUUGGAGGAUCCUCCCGUGGCCGGAGGACUUGGAGGAUGGCUGACAACACUUCAAAUGACAGAUUUGAAAUGAUUUUUAAUUUUAUAUAAUAAUAAGUUGAUUUGUUUAAUAAGUUAGUUAGCAAUGUAAAAUUAAAAAACAGCAUAAAAAUAGAUGUUAGUUGGGUGUUUUAAAAAAAAACAAAUUUGUUGUUAUACAUGUAAUUUAAAUUAUUGUACAUAAUUUACAAUAAUUUAUAUAUUAAAUCAUCUAAAUAAAUUAUAAUUUAAAUUAUUUACUUUUAGCGUAUAGUAUUAAGUUAUUUUAAAUUAUACUUUUUAUUUUAAACUCAACUAAAAACAUUUUACUCAUCAUAUUCUCUUCGCAGAUGACUGUUAUGUUUUCUGCAAAGCUAGUAUUGAAAGCGCCAACCAAGUCAUGACAAUGCUUCAAGUCUUUGACCAGGCUUCGGGACAAAAGGUCAAUGUUGACAAGUCAUCGGUCUUUUUCAGUAGAAACACUGGUUCUGAUCUCAAGCUGGAAAUAUGUAACAAGCUCCAUUUCAACGAAGCGGACGAAAACAGCUCAUACCUUGGUCUCCCAAGUCUAAUCACAAGAAGCAAAUCUGCAGUUUUUGGGUAUGUCAAAGAAAAACUACAGGACAGAGUCCAUAGUUGGGACAAAAAACAGAUAUCGAGAGGAGGGAAAGAAAUUUUGAUCAAAUCUGUUGGUCAAACUCUCCCGAAUUAUACCAUGAGUGUUUUCCUUUUGCCAGUAGAAACGUGCAAAGACUUAGAGCGAACUAUGAGCAAAUACUGGUGGAAAUCUGAUGGCAAGAAAGAGAAAGGCAUACACUGGUUUUCUUGGGAUAAAAUGUGUUUGAGAAAAGCUAAUGGAGGAAUGGGAUUUAGCAAUGUAAGGGACUUUAAUAUAGCUCUUCUCGGAAAGCAGGCAUGGAGAAUCAUUCAGUUCCCAGAAAAACUAGUAAGCCAAGUUUUCAAAGCUCGAUAUUUCCCAAAUGGAUCUUAUCUGGAAACCCAACUCGGAAGCAACCCCAGCUACAUAUGGCGUAGCAUUCUGGCAGCACAAGAUAUGAUUAAACAAGGAGUCUCAUGUCGGGUUGGAUCUGGUAAAACUAUAAGCAUCUUAAACUCUCCUUGGUUACCAUCAGAAACUGAUCCAUACAUCCAUACUCAGAGUCAGUCAAUUGUAAAUCAAAAGGUUGCAGCUCUAAUGGUUAAUGGCGAAAGAAAAUGGGAUGAAGAAGUGAUUCCUGACAUAUUCUCUCAAAGAGAUGCAGAGAUGAUUCUCAGCAUUCCUCUUGAACAUGACAAUGUGGACAACUGGUAUUGGAGACGUGACAAAAUUCGGAAUGUACACAGUUAAAGGAGGUUAUCUCUUCCUUCAGGAGUUGAAGCAAGGUGCUCAUCGAGAUAAUAAUUCAGGGUUUUGGCGAAGUUUGUGGAACUUAAAAAUUCCACCAAAAGUGAAAAACUUUUUAUGGAGAGCUUCAAGUAACUGUUUGCCAACUAAAGACAUGCUGCGUAUCAAAAGAGUCCCAGUUGAUAGUUGGUGUCCCACAUGCAACGCAUUUCCUGAAACCACAGUGCACUCUUUGCUUACUUGUUCUUUUGCACUUCAAUGCUGGAAUUUGACAGAUUUCUCGACUACUUUAGACACUUUUGGUUCCUUUCAAGAAUGGCUUCAAGCAAUCUUUGAUCAGAAAAGGAAAUCGGACGUGGAGAUCAUAGCAAUGAUUAGUUGGAUGCUCUGGAAAAACAGAAAUGAUGUGGUCUGGAAGCAAAAAUGUAUGGACGUUUCAAGUAUUGUAACAGCGGCGUUAUCUGUCCUUAAUCAAUGGAAAUUUGUUCAAGACAGGUCCUUCAACAUUUCAUUGGGUUACAUGACUUGAGACGAUGGCUCAGAACAAUGGUGUGCCCCUACAGUUGAUAGAAUUAAGGUUAACUCCGAUGCAGCAAUCUUUGAAAAUCCAAACAGGUACAGCUAUGCUUUCGUUGCCAGAAAUCAUAAUGGUACUCUUAUAGAAGCAAAAUCCAGGUGUGCCCAAGGAUCUAUAUCUCCUGUUUUGGCAGAAGCGAUGGGAAUUUGGGAAGCUCUUAGCUGGAUAAAAACCAGGAAGCUGUCAAAUGUGGACGUUGAAGCUGACAGCCUAGAACUAGUUCAGUGGAUACGUAGCUCUUACACAAGUUUAUCCUAUGUUGGCCGCAUGGUAGAUAAGUGUAAAAACCUCUUGGCAGGAAUGAGCAGUCAAAACGUGAUGUUAAGAUUUGUUAAACGAUCUGCAAAUAGAGUAGCUCACUAUUUAGCGAGAUACAGCUAUUUACCAGCUGAUCGUAGUUGGAGGGUGGAGAAUGUUCACCCGGAAUUUGAUUAUGUUUUAUGUAAUGAUUUGAGGAAAUAAAAUCUUCAUUUUCCGGCAAAAAAAAAAAACAUUUUACUCAUGAAAAGUUAUUAGAAAAGUCACGGGAGAAUGUGAAAAGUUAAAAAGAAAUCUAGAACUAUAACUACUUGUUUGCUGUUUCUGGGCUCGAAUUUUGCUGGGCUCUCUACACCAGUUAUAAGUAAAUUAGUCGGCCCAUAUACUAUUGGCCUUUUAAUAUAUUUCUUUUAAUGUUAAACGAGUAGGAAUUUAUUAUCUAGAUGAUAUGAUUUUACAUCAAAAUAAUAUAUUUUUUAAAAUAUUCUGGUGAUAUGAAUUGUAAUGAUAGUGAUCGCAUUCUUUAUUCUCAUCGAGUCUACUUCUCAUAUAUUAUUUUUCAAAUAUUUAUAAGAUAUUAAAACUAAAAAUAAAAUGCUUACGUUUUUCUUUUACACUUCUUUUACAUU